UAUUUAUAUAGUUUAAUAAAAACAUUACACUUUCACUGUAAAAUUAGGAAUAUUCUUAUAAAU
rnacentral:tRNA from 1 species